rnacentral:rRNA from 1 species
CUAUGAUGGAGACGCGGCGUACAGCUCAGUAACACGUGGCUAACCCACCCUUGAGACGGAGACAACCCCGGGAAACUGGGGCUAAUCCCUGAUAGGAGAAGAUACCUGGAAGGGGUCUUCUCCCAAAAGGCGCUUAGAUCAUGCUUCUAGACGUCGCUCAAGGACGGGGCCGCGGUCGAUCAGGUUGUUGGUGAGGCAAUGGCUCACCAAGCCUAUAACCGGUACGGGCCGUGAGAGCGGGGGCCCGGAGAUGGGCACUGAGACAAGGGCCCAGGCCCUACGGGGCGCAGCAGUUGCGAAAACUCCGCAAUGCACGAAAGUGUGACGGGGCUACCCCGAGUGCCGUCCGCUGAGGGCGGCUUUUCCCCGGUGUAAGGAGCCGGGGGAAUAAGGAGAGGGCAAGUCUGGUGUCAGCCGCCGCGGUAAUACCAGCUCUCCGAGUGGUAGGGAUGAUUAUUGGGCUUAAAGCGUCCGUAGCCGGCCUAGCAAGUCUUCCGUUAAAUCCACCGAUUCAAUCGUUGGACUGCGGGAGAUACUGUUGGGCUAGGGGGCGGGAGAGGCCGACGGUAUUCUCGGGGUAGGGGUAAAAUCCUAUAAUCCCGGGAGGACCACCAGUGGCGAAGGCGGUCGGCUAGAACGCGCUCGACGGUGAGGGACGAAAGCUGGGGGAGCGAGCCGGAUUAGAUACCCGGGUAGUCCCAGCUGUAAACGAUGCGGGCUAGGUGUUGGGGCGGCUACGGGCCGCUUCAGUGCCGCAGGGAAACCAUUAAGUCCGCCGCCUGGGGAGUACGGUCGCAAG